CCUACGGGAGGCAGCAGUGGGGAAUAUUGGGCAAUGGGCGCAAGCCUGACCCAGCAACGCCGCGUGAAGGAAGAAGGCUUUCGGGUUGUAAACUUCUUUUGUCAGGGACGAAGCAAGUGACGGUACCUGACGAAUAAGCCACGGCUAACUACGUGCCAGCAGCCGCGGUAAUACGUAGGUGGCAAGCGUUACUCGGAUUUACUGGGUGUAAAGGUCGGGUAGGCGGGACUGCAAGUCAGAUGUGAAAACCACGGGCUCAACCUGUGGCCUGCAUUUGAAACUGUAGUUCUUGAGUACUGGAGAGGCAGACGGAAUUCCUAGUGUAGCGGUGAAAUGCGUAGAUAUUAGGAGGAACGCCAGUGGCGAAGGCGGUCUGCUGGACAGCAACUGACGCUGAGGCGCGAAAGCGUGGGGAGCAAACAGGAUUAGAUACCCUGGUAGUC
rnacentral:rRNA from 1 species